GCAGUGAGGGCGGGAAGGCGGGAGCGGCGCUCAGGCGGCGUCCCUCAGCGCGGGGCUGAGGCGUUACGGCCGCACCUCGGGGCCCGGCCCGGCCCCGCUGCGGCGAACAGGCUGAUAUUUCGGCCUUACUGAAGAGAAGGAUCUUUUCAGCCGCAGUACAAAGCGUUCCCUUCAAUUAAGUUAAUUGCAGUCCCUACGUUCGCUGGGCCGGACCAUGCCCCAUCCCACCCCCCUUCCCUCAGCGCUGCGCAUGGCAUCCAGCUAACGGCCCAAUGGAUGGAGGAAUGGGGCAAAAAUAAAGGAUGGUGGAAAAGCCUCACUCAGGAAGGGGCCAGAAGAGGUAGAGGCCGCACUGCUCGGGUUUGGCUGUGCGUUGUUACAGCAGAUGGACAGAGCCACAUUUUGGGAAGCAGGCACGGCCCAGAGCGAAUACGAAUCACAAUUCAUCACCACAGAGCCACGAAGAUUGGAAAAGCACUCCCAGAUCCCCUCCAUGCCCACUGAGCGCGUCCCUCAGUGCCACAUCCCUACAGCUCUGAGUGCGGGGACUCCACGCAGCCCUGAGGGCCGAGCGAUCUGCGCUUCGGCAGAACAGCAGCACGGAACCUUCCAGAAACAGAAACCUGCAGCCUCCCACCUCCUUCGCUGCCCCCUGCAGAAGUGCUGUCUCUAAUUGCUGACCCGCUGUUGCCCUCUGGUCUUUUUCAACCACGUACACUAGGGGGGAAUAAGACGUCGUCAGAAUAAUUCCCGUGUUUUCCUUCAGCGACUUAUUAGCAUAGCAAAUCACUGCCUCUGCGUUACAGCGCCGCGAACAUAAUAGUUCCACCUACGGGAAAAUAUUCUCAGCACUGAUGUCAGCUGCUUUAUAUAUGUCGCCGUAUCGUUACAAAGGAAACUGAUCUGAGGCCGCAGGUUUGUGGACGACAAGGAGGUGUGAUGUUCCCAUACAAAGCUGAGGAGACAAAGUGAACAAGGCAAUGGCUGGAGAGCAGCUCUGAACAGGAACACAGAAAUGUCUGAACACUUAGCUAUGUGAGCCCAAUACUGACUGGUGCUGGGCACCCCAAGGCAUUUAAAAGUAGACACAUGGGGUCCACUUUCUGCACUGUCCUCUUCAACAGGGGCCAAAAGUGGAUGCUUCAGCAUGGGCACAUGGAGUGGUUCCCCCAGGUCUUAGGGCAGUCUGCAACGUUUCUGGCUGUAGGACCUCUUGAAGCAGAUGUGAUUCCAAUCUAUUUAUGCUGCGUGCGCAGGCUCUGUACAGUGCAUUAAACUCAGCUGGGUGCCCUCCAAGUAGGAACCCACUGCUCCAAGUCAGUGCUUAGGUUUGAAAUCCCCACGGACUGAACAGAAAGCAUCUUUGCUUGCCACCCCAACAGCCUCUUCUGCAUUCUGCAAGGAGCCAGACCCAUUGGAACACACAAGGUUUGUUCUGAAAAUGCCUUUGGGACACACAGGCACGCUUGGUUCCUGCAUCCCAGCUGUUCAGGCUUUAUGUACAGCACCAACCCGCCCAGACCUGCAGGGCUGCAGAAGCACAACAGCAGGUAUUUGAAGACUAUCAACACAAAUACCCAUAGCGCUUAAAGCUUCAAGGACGGACUCAGGGAUGGAGGGAGUUUUCAGGGUCACCAUUCUGGAUUUUGCUCCAGGAAUCUGGUCCAAGUUCCACACCUUACACCUCUGGCCCCUUAGCUUGACAACCACUGAUUUAGAAAUCUUGCUGAAAUGGGGAGCUAAAAAAAGGACAUCAAGCCUCAAUCAACUCCUUAUGUUUUGUGUGGUCUUUGCAGCAAACUGAUGUGAAGUUUACACAACAGCAAAGAAAAAUAAAAUGGCUGUAAUAAACAAGAUCUUGUCUCUUAAACAGCCAGAAUGCCUAUGGUAAGAUAUUAAAACACUCGGUCUCUUAAGUCAGAUACCAUCAGAUAAACUUCCAGAUGGAUGCUAUUCAGUGUGACCAUAUAAAAAUAAACAUUGCUUACAAUAUUUGUUACCUAAGAAAUCGAUGCCUAUGGAGAAAACAUUUUAGAGUAAUGCUCUGGAUGUGAGAGGCUGAUUUUCUUCACACUGCAGCAGUGUGACAGAACAGCGGUUCCACCAUCCCUUCACUAAUGAACGGCAUGUCUAUUUGUGCAGCCUGGGGAGUGUUCAAAUAGAUUUGGGGUUGGUUUCUUUUGCAGAAGGAAAGGGAGAUUUUUGUUUUGCCGGCUGUUCAAUUUUCAUUUUUGCAAUUUUUGGCAAGAGCACCUUGACCUGUGGGUAACCGACUGCAUUUUGUCUAAAAGGGAAUAAAUACGUGCUUUGUGAUCCUUCUUCUGCCAUCAGCAUUGCAUUUGGACACCAGCAUUACCCUCCAUCUGAGCAACAGCUGACACAGGGACUUGCAAACACAACUUCAGAGGAGGAAGGAGAACCAGGGUGAGUAAAAGCAGCUUCAUUUCCUGCACACACCUGCUCAGGGGCGCAAUGGGCAGACAACGCAGAACCAACUCCAAAGGGGAACCUCGGAGAUUCUGUUUAACAGCAAACACCCAUUAGCAAAAGAAUAAUAGUGUACGGCAAAUCCUAACUGUAAGUUUGGAAGAGAGGAUGUAUUUAUGCAGAUCAUAAUUCGGCAACAAUGCCAAGCUCAACGUUUUCCACUUGAGAAGCACUAAAGGAGCUUUAAUGGUUGCAUGCGAUCAAGAUAACAUCUUGAGUGAAAUAACGCAGCUCUGGCACACCGGGGUACAGCUAUCAGAGUGCAAACAGCACUCACGUAAAGAAAGAAAAGUCAUUAUCACACCUCCCGAUUUGUUCACGUUACAGAGUUGGUGUGUUCUCUGCAGACAGAAGGUACUGCAUUUGUGUGUGCCCAAACAGAACAGCAGUUUCUGGCUUUUCCCCGCUCAGUCACACCAUGACCAACUUAACUCUGUCCUUAAGAGCUAACAACUGCUGAUGGCAAUCAAGUGAAUGUUCAUUUGUGGUAGGAGCAGCGUUACACAACCGCCUGCAGUUUUGCUACAAGCUAUUUGUGGGACACCUUCUGUGGCGACUGUACCCUGAGAGCAGCUCCACUUCCAAUUGGUAUGUGUCCAUCAGCUGGAACCUCCCACACCCCCAUCCUUUGUAUUUCUGGCCCAGCAUUCUGGAAAGCUGUUCACUACGACCAGUUUUUGCUGUGAUGGUCUGCACGUGCAAACAUGACAUCAAUUGGCUGACCAAUGAGAACAGCCGGAAAACUUUGAGAAGCUUUCUAUUUUUUUAAUACUCUUCUACAGAGUCCAGACAAAGAUUGCUGCUAUAGGGGCUGCAUGCCCCAUAAUUAGUCUUGUGGUUCUAAUUAGCCCAAUCGGUUUAAGAAGACACUUCUGCUAAUAAGUACUGCCCAGGAAAAAGACGACUAAUUAUGGUGCUAUUCUCUGCCUGUCCCACUUAUUCCUAUUCUCUUCUCCACUGAGGGGAGCAAUUUGGUGUGCUAAAACAAAACGAAAGGAGACAACAACCUUCAUGCAUGCCUAAGAUCAACAGGAAGGCAAGGAAUUACUUGUUCUCCAUCACUGAUGUGAACAGGACAAGAGGUACCAGGAAUAAAACUCGGCAAUGAUGAUUCUGAUUGGAAAUUAGGAGUAAUUUUCUAAUGGCACAGAUGGUUAAGCAUUGAAAUAGACUUUGUGUCAACGCCGGGAUAUCCUAUGCACAGAGACAGUAAGUGUUAGCCAUAAAAUAGGUAAAUUUGAGCCUGAUUUGGGCACUGCAGUCACGGCUUGGAUUCCUUGGGCAAUCUGCAGCAGCCUGUGAGGGCAGAUGCAACGUGUGGACAGAAGCAGUGGUGCUGGCAGAUACAAAUCCUGCUGCAGAUCAUUAUUUUCCAGAUUAGCGCAGUUUAAGCUUUUUCAGGUAGGUAAAAAUUAUUAACUCUAGCAAUUUCUCCCAGAGGACAACAAACCUUAUCAGGAAAGCACUGAACUCAGAACACCACAAAGCUGAUGCACAGAGUUCUGCUGAGCAGGCACUCAUAGGGCGCUGCCACCCUUUGCAGCCCACACCUGCAGGACCUUCAGGGAAGCCAGACAGCACUCCUUCACCAUCAGACCUUGGAACAAUACUGAUUCUAAAGCAGCAAUCAAUAUUUUGCAAGCCAACAAAAUAAUAAGGCUAUUUAUUUAAAGCAUAACUGUCGGCGGUUUGAUAAAUUGAUCUCACGUGCUGUAUCGUAAAGAGUACAGCUUUAGUCAAAGUCAUUCUUAGGAAAGGAAAAAGCUUUGGUUCACUCUUUGUUUCUGUCAAAUACACUGUAACCCAGCGGUGAUGGAAAAAUGGGUAUUUAGCAAAACUGCUGUAAGAGUCCCACACACUCCAUUAACCCAUCCCAGCAUUAACAGAACAAGUCAGAUUCUUCUCCAGCAUGUCACGUCUCCUGUUCAACUCAUACAAUCAAUCAAGAUAGAUUUUUUUAUUGCUCGCCUACCCCAAAAUCCGAAGUGCUAUAUGAGAGUGUUGGUCUGAGUGGUUACUUUGUUAAGCGAGCACUGGUGAAGAGGAAACAGCACAGUAACUCUUUCCAGAUCUAACACAGUGAAGCACUUCCUCCUCUGUCUCUCUGGUUAUCCUACGCCCCAUCAGCCCCACUGGUCCCAGCAGCCCUCGAUGUGCAGAAGGCUGACCCUCAGCGGUUGGUUUAGGUGGAGCUGAUGCCUCAGCACUAGGAAGCACUCAGCUCUGCAAACUUCUGAGAUCCCUCAGCUUCCACAGAGAUGAAUGACGAUGGCAGAAACCACCACAUUUGGCAAAACGGCAUCUCACAGCACGAGGCCUGGAAGUGCCUCCUGUCCAGUAGCAGCGUCAAGUCAGACUGUCACAGAGUGAAGAGCGUGCCUCCAGCCCAGGGCAGACACAACAGCUGUUGAAUUUGUUUGCAGUAACACUGUAAAAGCAUGAUUCCCAUCCCCAGUAGGAUAUCUCCUGACUCCGAAAUGCUAUCCCAAGAGGGCAUCAUUAUCGCAAACCGCAGCAAUGCUCCAAACCCUUUUUUCAUGACAUUCCUAAACUGUUUGCUCCGCCCUGAUUCAUUUCAGGAAACUGAUAAGGCAGCUGUGAAAAUACACCGUGCAAAGCACACUCAUAUUACAAACCAGCUGGCAGAAUCUGCACUUUCUGUUAUCCCAGGGGAGUCAAGAUUGUUGUUUAUUCAAUUUUCCAAAAGGCACACGAACUAAAACGCAACCUUCUCUUAAUGAACCCAACUGGUUUUGGGAAGUAGGUGUGUACUGACAGAACAUUUUGGCUUGCAAUGAUCAGUAAAGCAGCCGCCUCUGAAACAUGUGUGGGCCACACUCAAAGGAUUUUCUUAUUAUGAAAGGGGGUGUGGGUCUCUCAUUUCAGGAAAAUGAUCAUAAUUUUCUCUAUUCCUAUUCAGUGUCUCCUGUAAGCAUUGCUGCCUUUCUCACAACAGCUUCCCAAGCAAGGUGACAGGUCACAGGAUCUGCCAGGCCCGGUGCAGUCCUCACGGUGCUUCCAUGGGAAUGCUGGUUCAGCCUCCUGUGGGAGCAUUAAGCCAGAAGGGAAAAAAUGGGUGCUCUGCUUCUUAUUAAUUACACUUAAUGGCAUUUUUUUCCUCAGAAUUGUGUAUCUAUCUUAAUGGCAAAAAAAAAAAAAAAAAAAAAAAAAAAGCCUGAAACGUAGCUUACUGAGCCUAUUUCUCCAUGUUUUAUUGAUAUGUCCUUCCUGCAGACCUUCCCAACUGCUCUGUUAUUCUCCUGAACCUUCUUUCUGACGCUGUUGUGAGCCACUGCUAUGUGCCACCAGGCUGGUGUUGUUUUACACCCUGGAGGUGGCUGCAGUUCAGUGACAGAUCUCUCUGCUAGCAACGUUAGCACUCUGGCAGCACUGGAAUCCAGAUCUUCAGGACUAAUGACACCGUAGAGGUACUUGAGGUGAAUUUACAUAGUGAAAAAUGAUGCUUUGAUCUGCAGUUCCUUUUUAACACUUUCCUUACUUCAGUUGAUCCCUGUUGCCAUUGCAGCCCUUGCCUCUUUCUUGUACACUGGUCUUUUGCACUGGCAGUUAACAGAAGCCCACACAUAAGAAAGUCAUUUCCUCCUCCUAUUCCAGAGGCACUGUCUGCAGACUAGACCUACACUGAGAAACAAAGGUUGAUAAUGGACUUAUACUUAACGAGGCAAUACUGGAGAGCUACAGAUUGCUCCUGCUGCCACUGGAUUCCCUCCAUGCAAGCUCAUGGCAAAGGAGCCCAGCAAUACCUCCGAGCUAUCCAUGCAGGGAGGGGCAGGAUGGGAAGGGCUCUCUGCCACCACCUGCAGGCCCCUCCACCACUUCAGCCAGAAGUUUAGGGGCUCUUCACUGGAAGAGAUCUAAUGGAGAUGCUCUGCUGGUUCAUCCCUAUGAAGAACUCCCAUUCCAUUUGGGAACACUACUGCUUUCCCCAGCAUCCCACCCUAGUUGCUUCCAAAACUACCAAGGCUAUACCUGACCAGAAGCAAUGGCAGGUGGCCAUGUGGCUUGUGCCUCUCUAAAGCUUCCCUGUGCGUUUCUGCUCUCCAAGAGGGUGAUCUGACAGAACAAACCAGCUGUUCCCCAAGUGCUCCAUGACAGGCUGGAGCCUGGAUAGUUCAGAGCAGCACCUGAACUCUACAACUCGUGCCUAUAGCUUUGCCAAGCAAUUUCCUCCAUUAUGAAGCUUUGUUGUGUAACAACAGAUACUUUGCAGUUAUUAUUUUUUUAAGGUAAGCCAUAUUUGAGCUGAAUCAAAAAUAAGCAAGAGCUAAAAUAUCUGCAGUGCUGGGGCUAUGCCAAACACCCACAUAUCCUGUACCCUGUACUCAAGUCUUGUCAAGUAGCUCAGCACAUCUUUGUUCUCAUCAUUUACUUUCAUUUUAUGCCUAACUGAGAAGUGUCCUGAUUAACCAAGCAAAACACUGCAAGGAAAGCACAGGGAACGUUUGGUCAGCUUUGGGAGCUCUGUGCUGCUCCAACGUCCACAACUCUCUUGCUGAGAUAUUUAGGCAUACGUACAAUUGUACAUAGAGCUCCUAACUCUUAUUCCUUGACGUUUUUUACAGAAGUAAACAGAUAAGUAAACAGAAUGGUGGCAAGAUCUGUUGGGGGUCAUGGAACAACUAGUAUAGCUGGGAAAGGCAAUGAUAAACAACAACUUCUGUUAAGACAACUCAGCCCAAGCUUUCCAACCUGUGGUCAUUUGCUACAGUCCCUGCAGCCCAUGGACACCUAGGUAGUGCAGAACAAAGCAAGUGCUGCCCUUUCACACAGACAAGGGUUAUGUUACACAGCAUUAGGUUGCAUGUCAAAACACUCAUCUCCAUACACAGAUGAAGGAGCAAAGAGGAAAAUGAGCAACUUCAGUGACCUAACCAGAGAAACAAAGCACCCAGAGCUGCCCCUCCCAGGUACCGACUGGAUGUGGGAAGGGGGAGCAGCAGCCUUGGCUAUUGUGCUGCUGGAUUUUCUAUCCUACAGCAGGUGGUACCCUGUAUACAGGAGUCUAUGCAGCAGUCUACAGACAUGGCAUUUUCCAAAGGACUAGCACAAUCACCAAACAUUCUGGGAGAGCACCAGAAAUUAUGGGAAGCUGAAAAAUCACUGUUCUAAUCAGAGCGUGUGUAGUGAGCGUGGACAUUUUGUUUAAUGAAAUAAGGACUUUGGGAAAUUGAAGCAAAAGAAAGUGUUUGUAUGUGAUGAGGUGAAGUGAGAUGAAGUGACUACAUAUAAGAAAUGAAUGAUCCACCAUCAGUUUGAGCACUGGUGAUGCAAGCUAUUUUCAAGCUCUUACAUACAAAACAAUAAGAGAAUAUUUUUCCUCUGCCUUUUGCAGAAUAAGACACUUCCCUUCACUAGCUUGUGUGUGAAGUGAGAAUGAACAGCAUUUCUUCAUCUGAAGCUCAGCAGACAAGGAACACCCCUAACGAGUUUGUUCUAGUCAGAAUCAGGAAAGGCAGUAACAAAACAGCCUGUUUUUCCAGUACUUUCACUUUCCACACACCCUGAAUUACAUUCACUUUUAUGGGAGAUGGAGACCAUUCACACCCUUUGUAAAAUGAACAGCAGCAGCCAAGCAAGUGGUAUGGAGGGUAGGAGGACUGCCUGCUUGGUUACACAGCACUCACUUUCAGGAUGCACUGGGAACACUGACUGCAGCAGAACCACGAGCACCACAAGAGCUGUAGCAGCUCAAAGGCUGAGGCUGGAGCCAGGGGAAAGAACCCAAAGGAAUGUUCAGCAAGAACAUUCUGAACUGCCCUUGUCAGGGAAACAUCAAGGCCUUGUGUUACUCCACAGCAGCAGGUGGGUGACAAGGGUCCCCAUGACGUGGUGAUGAGUCCUUACAUCCAGGGCUCUGAGAUUACACAUCUCCAUUGUAGUACUGAUGCUGUACGGACAGUCUGUCUCUGCAGUACCCCCUAGGCUGCCUGCCCUCAGACCAUAAGCUCCAGGAGAGGCAGCUUCUGUUCUAACGCUGAGUCCACAAUUGACUUUUUAAAUGAACCCAAGUCUGCACUAAUAAACCUGCAAAAGAGUGUGAGCUGGGAGGCAAAGUAACCUUGUAGUCCAUGUUUUGUAAUGAGAGCUUCAGGAUUUGUGUCCUGAAAACGUUUGGGUGCAGAAGAUUAAAAGUUAAAUCAAAGGUGAGAAAUGUUAACUGGAAGAGGAAAAAAAAAACCAAAAAACAAUUACCAAAUCAAGCAUUCCAAGUUUAAAAUUACAGUACUCCUGGAAGGAAGAAGCCUGAAACAGCACUUAGGAAUUCAGUUGUGAGCAGGAAGUAGAACAGUGCUGAACAGCACAAGCUGUGAUGUCAGCAUACUCCAGCAGAGGAGCAUCUCCAUUUGUGCUUUGCCCCUUACAUCUGGAUAAUAAAUAGAGACCUGCUGUAACUCAGUGAGAUGAUUUGAUCAAGGCUGGAUAAUCAGAACAGAGAAAUUAAGCAAAGGUAAAAUAAAAAGUAAAAAUAAAAAUAAAGCCUCCGAGUCGCUCAUCAGUCAUUGGUUGAGGCAGCAGGACAUGUUUGUUUUGUUGUUAGGGGAGCAAUGAGGCUGUGGCUGGAGGGACAGAGAGCCCAAGCUGGAUGCAUGGGAGAGGAGAGGUUCCCUGAGAGGCUCCCAGGGCCGGCUUUGAUGGAGUUCAAAGUGUUUUCUCUUUAACUAUUCAUCUUUUGAGAGUAAGAUGGAAUUCUUUCACUCUGAGGAAAAGGGACUGCCUGAACUAAUGGGAAAAAGGGACUACAUGAAGUAAUAGCAGGGCUACCAGGACUUCUGGAACAGUACGUGCUGCAGCCUCAAGCAAAACAGAAAAAAACAAGGGCGUCUGAAAGUUUACAACUUAGAUGUAUUUCUUGUAUAGCAAAAAGAUACACAUACAAGUUUUAAUCUCAGCUUCCAAAGGUGUCCUUAACACAUGCCUGCAGUACUCCAAUGAUUAUCCCUUACCUUAUACUUUGCUGCAGAUUGCUUCUGGAGCCGUGUGUAAGCGUUCGAUGCGCUCAGUGGGAGUGGCUGCUGAACGUCUUCCAGGAGAGCCAUUAAAGAUCCUUCCUGGCUGCCUUCAAUCCAUGCUGCGAGCCCCAGCUAGGAAAUCUGUGAAUACAAACGUAAAGAUACCUAAGCAAGGCCAAGAGGAAUACAUUCUUUCAAUGUGGAGCCCGCGAGGAAGGACAGCACAACAGCAGCAAACGGCUGAGCACACUGACAUCGUUAAUUCCAGCAAUCCAUCUGAUGUUCACCCAUAGAAAUUAUAUUUAUGACACUCAAGAAGCUGUUAAAAAAAAAAAAAAAGAAAGAAAGCAGAAAGCCCAGCACCAAGGAAACUAUGUGCAAAUGGCAGCAUUUGAGAAUGAUCUCAUUUUAAAAGAUUUAGUGCAGCAAAAUAUGUAACUGGGAAUGAAAGGGGAAAAAAAAGAAAGAGAAAUGUCUUAAGACGAGUGUUUGAGGAAUACAUCACAGGUUUUGCCAAGAAUUAUUCACAUACAUCUGCACAAUCCCCCUCCAUCUAUUUUUACUUUUCUGUGGGCCAAUACAGAGAGCUGCGUAUUGUCAAUCCUAAAAAUAAGAGUUUGAGCUUUAAAAAGCAUUUCUAACGCAGUAUGGGAAAGAAUGAUAAUGUUCAAAUUAACCUUUCUCAUAGGCUAUGCUGCCUCAGCCACGGUAGGCAGAGGGCAGAGCAUAACCUCUUCCUCGCCCUCCAACAGGAACAAGAAAACAUGCCAGACAAAGGCUGGAGGACCAUAAGCAGAGAACGCAGCACAUUCCUCCUGCUCUGCACCCUGGGAUUUGCAUCAUAGAGAAGCUGCCCUACCCACAGCAUGUGUGCCUUCCCAGAGCUCACACCAUGUAUGCCCACGGUCCCUGUCAGCCGCCAAAGCCAAAGCCGAGACCUUGGUGCUGUUCCAACAAAUAGUACAGCUCCCUUGGCUUCAAAGGCCAUUUCACACCAUAAAUUCCAGAGUCAUUGGAGAACCAUCCAUCUGCUUCAUCGUUGGCCCCUGUGCUUGGUGCCUGUCAGUGCUACCUUCCCUGCAUACCUGUUAGUGCACUUGCUCUAGUUCCUUAGGUCAUCAGCUUUCAGAACACUUCCUGUACAGCAGGUAUGGCUACUCUAAUGACCAACCUCUAAAGAAGCUUCAUAACAACUAAACAAGACAUUUUUUUUUUUUUCCUCUCUGGGCAAAUUGCACGUGUUAGAGACAUCUCUCUAACCUUCUCAAACACACAUUUACAGCUGCCCAUAAAACCCCCAUGGUAACUGCCAUGGAGGAGGGGCAGAGAUGACAUGGGCUGAGGACAGGCACUAAGGGCAGUGUGUGUUCUGCCUUUGCCACAAAAUAAGGCAACACACUGCAGCCCACUCCUCAUCCCUCCCUCCCAGCCAUGCAAGCCAUGGCCUAAUUGUUCUGCAUAGACACUGAGUCUUCUGUAUUCCUUUCAAACAAAGAAGAAGUCCAUCACCUGACAAAUACCAGUGCUACAGUCCCGAAUUCCCCUCAUUUAUGGAACUGGAGUAUUAUCAGUAUUGAUAAAACCGCUCUGCAGUGGAUGCCAUGAGAUCAGUCAUUUGCUCAGCAAACACUACUACCAGCACAGCCUGUGCAUGCUGCCCCUGCUGCCACUUCCCAUGGCUUCUUCAGCUUGCUGCAGUGUCACCUAUAGGUGAAGGUGGAGCAGAUGAGCCCUCAGAAGUUGGGGCUGGCCACCAACAGCAGCCAGAGCUCCCACAGCGCUCCACAGCUGGUUAUAACGCAAGCAUAAUUUUAGCAGCAAUCCCUUUUGUUUUCCUCUCUAUUCAGAAAACAAAUGCAAAACCUUCUGGGGAAUACUCCAAACUGACUUUGCAUGACCACGAGCCAUACAUUAACUUCAUGAGCAAAAAGAGAACCGCAAGCAAUAGCGUCUGGAGCACAAAGCUGAGCAGAUGAGCAUUGCUGAGCUUUGGGGACAGCUGCUGAGGGUCAGAGCUGUCAAUCUGUAAAGUAAUUUUGGCCUUGCAGUGAACGAUUUUAUCCACGUGCAGUGAAGGUCCUCCCCUUCUCCCUGUUUCCAGCCGGCCCUCCGGAUGCUAUUCUUGCUAAGUGCUCAUGACAAAUGCGUUCAGUACUGUAAAAAAGCCAAAGGUUCUUUACACCAAUAAUUGAGCCACGUCUGCUGCAGCUCCAUUGCCAACAUCGCAGCUCCACUGCUGGGCCUUGUGACAGCACAGUGCAAACACACAACUGCAGGCAAACAAGUGAAACACAAAAUGAAAAGAUAACAGCUGGAAAGCAUGAGCCCAGUGCAUUGUUCCCUCAGCUCUAUGCAAUUAGCCAGCUGUGUGCUGGCUGCUUAUGAUUCUUGUAAGGAGCACAGCAGUGUUUUACAUGUUCUAGGCAUUACCUUGGUGUAAACACCUAUGCAGCAGGCAGUGCAAAGAAAAUGGGGCCCACAGCGAGGAUAGCUCAGGCAGAAGUGAGGAAUAAAACAAAACAGGAGCCUCAGUUCCCUCUUUACCUAAGGCUUAAAUCCUUGGCUUUGCAACCCUCAUGCAUUUUUGACCGUUUUAAUGUCAUUUCCUACAGUCUUCAUUUGUUCUUUUGGGGAAAUGGGAAAAGCAAUUUUUCUUUCCUUUAUGCUUCAGCACUGCCAGAAGAAUGGAAGACGUCCAAAAACUUUGACAAAAGUAUCUUUUUUCUAUUAGGAAAAUAAGCUUUUCUUUCACUUCAGAUGGACACGGAGAAAGAUGGCUUCCAAACACGAUCCAAGCACGCUCACUUUGCAGAGUGAGCUUUCCCUCAUGACGUACUCAUGCUUCACUACCGUUUCCCAAACUCUUCCACUUGGAAGGCAGUACAGAUGUGUGGGAAACACUGUCAAGCUCUGGAACAUUUUCCAAAUGAAAAUAACUUUCAGUUUUGGCAGUGACACUUCCAGUACUUACCAGGUGUUACGUGCUCAAUGAAUUAUUCUAAACAGUGACAGCACGACCCUGAGGCUCUUUUUAGGCUAUUUAAAAGUGGGUUCAAAAUCUCAGGUUGCUGCUCCAAAGAAGACUUCUGGAGCUCUUGGAGGCCAACAGCCACAUCUCCAGUACAGAGAAGAGAAGACUUCACCCCGCGGGAUCUUCACAGCCUUCCAGAAAUGCAGUCUCAGGAAGGGAAAUAAAUAAGCAUUACAAGCUUCGCUCUGUGCUGCUGCCUCGCCCAGCUAUGGCGGAUGUUUACCGAAGGGAUUAAACUAAUCUUUGUCUUCUCCCUCUUAUCUGGAGCUUCAUAUCCCCUUCCUAGACGACAGUGCAGCCGUUUCACAGCUCUGUAUCACACCGGUAGUGAAUCUUCAGCCUCGCUGCGAUCAAAUAUUUAACAUCUAACUAAUAAACUGAAGGCAGACGUUAAUUCCCUGCCACUCCAUGCUUUAUCGUCUACGGAUAAAUUAUACAGCCAGAAUCCCUCCAGAAGUACAGAAAAGCAGAUUUGAGGUUGGAUUGACAGCAGUGGUCCUUCACAGGCGGUGAGUAUCUGCUCGUGUAUUACAGACUGCGGAUAAAUGGAAAAUGGUUACCUUCGGAACUGUCACUUCCUCACCUGACAUUUACUACAAAAGAUUAAGAAGAACCAUUCCUGCUGACAACAGAGGACUGAAAUCACAUGGAGCAACCGGGCUCAGCCCCACUCUGCUCCAGCCAAGGCUGUGUACCCAUACUCCAUCUCAAUGGGUAUGGUCAGCUUGCUCCAAGGGAAUAACCUCUAUCCUCUCAAAAUAACCAGGAUCACCUCUCACCAUCCAUUUGCUAAACAGGUUGUGAAAUUACCUCCCCUGACAAGGAGCACUCCAGCGGGGAUUUACACAUGCAGUCAACAGGACAGAACACUGGAAGUGAAGCACAUGGGGCACCUUUAGGUGCCGUCUUCUGUUAUCACUGACAUAUGUGACUAGUCACAGCCAACUCAGCGUGGAUCCAACAUUUGUCAUUUUUACAAGGAUUGAGUAAUGCUAAAUGUCACUGUGGGCUGGUGUGAGUGCUGUUUACAAGAACACUGGUACAAGAUACGAAGGGCCACAUUUAUGGUUGGUAUACCAAGUUGAAACUACCCAUUUCAAGACACCAGAAUGAUGCUAAAUUAAAUCAUCAGGGAAUCUGUCUUGCUGUGUCCAGGUGAAUUCUAAUAUAUUGUUUAGAAAAAAGAUCCCAAACCAAUAAAAACUGUGCAACCAAAAAUGUCUGUAUCUGUUUCUAGAAGCACACAUGCCAACUAACCCCAAGGUUUGGGACACACAAACACUGCAGCUGAACUUAGGAGGGGCCUUUAAACAUUUCAACAGAUGCCUUAGGCUCAGCAC